GGUCAACACCCCAAAAUAAAAGUUCGCUGCUUGAACUGCCUGUCCCAAAAUAUUUUUUGUUUACUUUCAUGGUAUCGAACGGAUCGCAUGGCAGAUUUUUUGUUAAAUUUUGUGGAAACAAGAACAUCAAGGUGAAAACGUCGUCAACAAAAACGUUUAAUUUCAAGCGGAAUGACAUCCGGAUCUGCCUCCGUAUGGUUGAAAUUCAUUGAAGAGCUAUCCACACGAGUAACCAAAGAGAACAAGCCGAUGGCCAUUCAGUUCGCUUACAUAUUGGAACCAGUCUGGGCUGCGGAUGAAAAUAUUGAUGAAUUGAUUCCAAUCAUACCGGAAUGCGAAACGGAUCUCUACUUGGCAAUGGUAGGAAGCUUCCUUCAAGACCAAUUGCAACUGGGAGCCUGACUAUUAUUUUAUAAUAUUCUUUUAAAAUUUCGGUGCCGGAACUUCUUUAAGAAAUGGACCCGUGUGAAUUCUGGAUCACAGAAGAUUAUCAUAAUCGAUACGUGUUGAAAGUGUAUAGUUCCAAAGUUUUUCAGAGUGACCGACCUACCGUACCGAUAGGCUCUGGUUAUGGUAAAUACGCUGAUGAACAGGAAAACAUGCCCAAUAUAAUGUAAGCAAAACCAGUUUCUAAACCGUUUGGUAAUUUCUCGGUUGCCACUUUU